AAAACUAGGCUUUUCUUCCGCUGCCAGUGAUUUUAGCAGGACCUACAGAAACACACAUGUACUUCUGUGUGUGAUGGGAGGAUUCAUGUUUGUACUGUAGUCCGUAUGAAAAGCUAAAGUGUGAGGAGACGAUCUGUCAGAAUGAAAAGCAGAGCUACAGUGACAAAUGUUUUUCCAAUCUUUCUCCAGAUUUCAGUCCGGCUGACAAUCUUCAGGAGAACAGAUGAUUUCCCGCUUGCUUGUGUGACCAAAACAUGUUUGAUUUGAGAAGAAAAGCUCCUGCAAAUAUACAAUUUAAAUGUGCGGCUCUUUCAUUAUUUUGGCUUUUGGAAUAUACAAUUUAAUGCAUUUUUUUCAAGUUGUAACUUCACUGAUUUCAAGCAGUUUAAAGGCUUUUAUAAGUUUAAAUGUUUAACUUGUGCGGUUCUUAUUUGUGAACCACACUCAUGUUCCUUAUACACCUGAAAUGUCACUUUUUUUUUCUUCAGUAAAAUCAAUGUCAUAUA